UACAGAGGGGGCAAGCGUUGUUCGGAAUUACUGGGCGUAAAGGGCGCGUAGGCGGCCUGUUAAGUCGAACGUGAAAUCCCCAAGCUUAACUUGGGAACUGCGUCCGAUACUGGCAGGCUUGAAUUCGGGAGAGGGAUGCGGAAUUCCAGGUGUAGCGGUGAAAUGCGUAGAUAUCUGGAGGAACACCGGUGGCGAAGGCGGCAUCCUGGACCAACACUGACGCUGAGUGAGCGAAAGCCAGGGGAGCAAACGGG
rnacentral:rRNA from 1 species